rnacentral:rRNA from 1 species
CCUACGGGAGGCAGCAGUGGGGAAUAUUGGACAAUGGGCGAAAGCCUGAUCCAGCAAUGCCGCGUGUGUGAAGAAGGUCUUCGGAUUGUAAAGCACUUUUGGCAGGGACGAUGAUGACGGUACCUGCAGAAUAAGCCCCGGCUAACUUCGUGCCAGCAGCCGCGGUAAU